rnacentral:snRNA from 1 species
UUCACCUUUGUGUAUGUAUGACAAUAAAAACGUUCCAAAAAAAAUACAAAAAUCUGUUCUUAUCAGUUUAAUAUCUGAUACGUCCCCUAUCUGGGGACCAUAUAUUAAAUUGAUUUUUGGAAUAGGGAGAUGGAAUAGGGGCUUGCUCCGUCCACUCCACGCAUCGACCUGGUAUUGCAGUACCUCCAAGAACGGUGCACCCCCC